AUUGAACGCUGGCGGCAUGCUUUACACAUGCAAGUCGAGCGGCAGCGCGGGGGGCAACCCUGGCGGCGAGCGGCGAACGGGUGAGUAAUGCAUCGGAACGUACCCUGGAGUGGGGGAUAACGCCGCGAAAGCGGCGCUAAUACCGCAUAUGCUCUGAGGAGGAAAGUGGGGGACCUGCAAGGGCCUCACGCUCUGGGAGCGGCCGAUGUCCGAUUAGCUAGUUGGUGGGGUAAAGGCUUACCAAGGCGACGAUCGGUAGCUGGUCUGAGAGGAUGAUCAGCCACACUGGGACUGAGACACGGCCCAGACUCCUACGGGAGGCAGCAGUGGGGAAUUUUGGACAAUGGGGGCAACCCUGAUCCAGCCAUGCCGCGUGAGUGAAGAAGGCCUC
rnacentral:rRNA from 1 species